CAACCCUUAAGCCUAGCUUAGUGUUGGGAAUCUACAUCAAAGGCUUCUAGCCCUACUGUAGUUCCUGAAAAUCAACGGCGGAUCUGUAAUAAUCCUCUGAGCGUAGUAAUUCUUUAUCUCGCUUUUGUUAGGUGUUAUAGCUCUUGCCGCUAAACCCCCCAAUUUUUAAUGG
rnacentral:misc_RNA from 1 species